CCUUUGGAGAGCUACGCCAAACUAGAGUAGGUUUAUGCCAAAAUAGAGUUCGACGAAGAAGGAA
rnacentral:ncRNA from 1 species